AUGGCAAUGUGUCUUGUUUUGUUUCAGACAUUACCGAAAUCCAUAGUUUCAUCGACUGGGCUUUGGAAUAUUGCAGAGUCUCUGUGUGGAGUUGAGGGAGACUACUUGCAGAGACCUACAAAAGUGUGUGCUAAACCUGUCCUCCUCAACAUAGUAAAAAAUGAGGUGGAAAGGUGGGUGAAGACAACAACAUUUUUUGGUAUUAUAAGGUUAUUCAAGACAGGAAAGACGAGGACCAACUGGGAAGAGUUGCAGAACAUAAUAUUUGGUAAUAAAAAAGCAAGUGAAAAGAAAUGUAAAUAAAUGUGAUGUCUGGGGGGAAAAAAUAACCUCAAUGUUAAUUAUAUAUAAAUCCUACCUUAACAUACACAGCCUGUCACCCAGGAAUGAGGUCUUCAAAUUAUAUAUAGUGGAUAACUGUAGAGAAAUAGCUCCGUGAAAAUGUCAACUCAAAAUGGAAAAUAUCAUUACACCUCUCUGUAAUUUCACAGUGUGCCCACAUCUUGAACACUGUAAAUACUUCUGGUCACUUCACCCUCACUCUCUCCCCUAGUCGAAAAGAUACAGAGAAGGUCACAAGAGUGAUCAAAAGUAUGAAAUAGUUUCAAUACAAUGUUUAAUUAAAAAUCUUAAGAAUCUUAAGACUAGAAAAAAAGACAAAGGAAGAGGGAUGUAACAGCAGUUCAUAAAAUUAUCGAGCUUAUGGAGGAGUUAAACAGGGACUGACUGUGCACUGUCUUUUCUAGACAGAGCAAGCAGCUAUCAGAUGAAAUUAGAAUGUGGCAAUUUCAAAACAAAAUAGAAAUAAGUUUUCAUGCAAUUAAGUUACUACAGAACAUUUGUGGAGCUAAAAGUUGAUUCUUGAAAAAGAAUUGGAAGGAAAAAGCCAUGAACUAUUCAAAAAGGAUGUUGAAUAGGAAUAAUUAUCUAGUUCAGUUAGUUCUGAGCUGCAAGUUUUUCUGGCCUGGCAGAAUAGACUCAGGAAAUAAUUUUUAUUUUUAUUUUUUGCGUAGGCAUCUGCUGCUGGCUAAUGUGAGAGACAGGAUAACAGGCUAGUUUGAACUUCAUCUUACCUGUUACAGAGAUGAGUGGUCUAUUUUAUUCUCUACUUACAUUUGUCUUCUAUUAAGCAAACAUUCUUAUAUAUAAUUCAAUGAUAUGACAUUCUAAUAUCCCUAUAAACAGAAUUAACAACUGUUUAAUUAUGCCUCAUGUAGUACUGAAUAUAAUUUUCUUUGUAGUCAAGUUUAUUUAAGUUAUUAAGACAUGCAAAUGUACCUCGAUUUUCACGAUACUGAUGGAGCUACUGUACCCAAAUAAUAGCAACAUUUUGUUUUUUGAGUGGUGUGUUGUAAAAGUAUUAUAUUGUUAUUAAUAAUUAGCUUUUGCUGUGCUAAGCUAUAGCUUAAGACUGUUCAGGUUUGAGGAGGCGGGACAUUUCGAAGCCUUUCUUUGUUUUAAGGAUUGCACCAGCCCCACUAGUAAAAAUUCAGUAAUCAAGUGGAACAUGAUAUAUGGGUUAUAUCCGUGUAGCCAAGCUGAUCACCCUGUUUUGCUUGAGGCUCAAAGUUGUCUGAUUAUCCACUUUGCACAUAGGGUAAGCUCCAACCUCAGCUGAAAGUACUUUUGGCAGAGAAGCCUAGGCAUGAAUGAGAGAAGUUUAUGCAAGGCUUAGCACCUGACCUGCAGUAAGGACAUGGAAGCAGUCUGCACCAGCUUUGCUGAGGGCCACAGAGCACUUUCCACUGUGGAUUUGAAAGACGAGCCAGUCCCUGAGACCCCUUCUUUUCUACCCUGAUAUCUCCUCUGAGUGUCAGAGCAAGGAGUUUAAAGUCAACAGAGACAACCAGGCAGGCACUUUCUUCCGGAUGGUUUGCCAAGAGCACUGUAACUGCCCUUUGCGCUUCCAGCACCAAGAUCUGUUUCCCAGCACAUAUCAUAUUUCACAUGACACAUGAAUUAAUCUUCACCGUGUUCCUAUGAAGUAGGUAAACACUGUCCUUAAAUAAAUAAUAAUAAUAAUAAAGACA
ensembl:lncRNA